rnacentral:rRNA from 1 species
GUGGGGAAUAUUGGACAAUGGGCGAAAGCCUGAUCCAGCCAUGCCGCGUGUGUGAAGAAGGUCUUCGGAUUGUAAAGCACUUUAAGUUGGGAGGAAGGGCAGUAAGUUAAUACCUUGCUGUUUUGACGUUACCGACAGAAUAAGCACCGGCUAACUUCGUGCCAGCAGCCGCGGUAAUACGAAGGGUGCAAGCGUUAAUCGGAAUUACUGGGCGUAAAGCGCGCGUAGGUGGUUUUGUAAGUUGGAGGUGAAAUCCCCGGGCUCAACCUGGGAGCUGCCUCCAAAACUGCAUGACUAGAGUACGGUAGAGGGUAGUGGAAUUUCCUGUGUAGCGGUGAAAUGCGUAGAUAUAGGAAGGAACACCAGUGGCGAAGGCGACUACCUGGACUGAUACUGACACUGAGGUGCGAAAGCGUGGGGAGCAAACAGGAUUAGAUACCCCUGUAGUCC